rnacentral:rRNA from 1 species
GCUAUUAGAUGAGCCUAUAUUAGAUUAGCUAGUUGGUGGAGUAAUAGCCUACCAAGGCAAUGAUCUAUAGCUGAUCUGAGAGGAUGAUCAGCCACACUGGAACUGAGAUACGGUCCAGACUUCUACGGGAGGCAGCAGUGGGGAAUAUUGGACAAUGGGCGAAAGCCUGAUCCAGCCAUGUCGCAUGAGUGAAGAAGGCCUUUGGGUUGUAAAGCUCUUUUAGUGAGGAAGAUAAUGACGGUACUCACAGAAGAAGUCCUGGCUAACUCCGUGCCAGCAGCCGCGGUAAUACGGAGAGGGCUAGCGUUAUUCGGAAUUAUUGGGCGUAAAGGGCGCGUAGGCUGAUUAAUAAGUUAAAAGUGAAAUCCCGAGGCUUAACCUUGGAAUUGCUUUUAAAACUAUUAAUCUAGAGAUUGAAAGGGGAUAGAGGAAUUCCUGAUGUAGAGGUAAAAUUCGUAAAUAUUAGGAGGAACACCAGUGGCGAAGGCAUCUAUCUGGUUCAAAUCUGACGCUGAGGCGCGAAGGCGUGGGGAGCAAACAGGAUUAGAUACCCUGGUAGUCCACGCUGUAAACGAUGAAUGUUAAAUAUGGGAAGUUU